CAGCCACAUCGCAUUGAAACAUCGGUUCUCAUAAGUUCACUGAAGUUAACCAAUGUCGAGCUUGGUCAGUACCUAGAUGGGUGACCACUUGGGAUUACCAGAUGCU